rnacentral:rRNA from 1 species
UACGGAGGGGGCGAGCGUUAUUCGGAAUCAUUGGGCGUAAAGGGCGCGUAGGCGGUCGAGUAAGUGGAAUGUGAAAUGCCCCGGCUCACCCGGGGACCUGCAUUCCAAACUGCUCGGCUCGAGUAUGGGAGAGGAUGAGGGAAUUCCUGGUGUAGCGGUGAAAUGCGUAGAUAUCAGGAGGAACACCGGUGGCGAAAGCGCUCAUCUGGCCCAAUACUGACGCUGAGGCGCGAAAGCUAGGGGAGCAAACGGG